CUCCCCCUCACGGACUGUCCAUGGCUGCUGUGGACUCAUUGGGUGGCUCUCUGAGGCCUCUGUCCCCACGAUAUUCCAGCUCCUCAUCCUGGUGAAGGAAGCAAGGACUCGGGAGUGGACAAGCUACCAGGUCUCCAGGACUGAAGGUUAUCAUCUAAGUUGGUGUUCUCAACUGGAGGCGAUUUACCCCCCACCCAGGAGACAGUUGGCAAUGUCUGGAGGAAAUCUCUUGCCGGAAGCCGUGCCACAGAGCACACAGGCAGUUUGCAGAGAAGGAUGCAACCCACACCAUGUCCGAAGCGGGCUCUGGGGAAGAAUCUGAGAUGACACCCCGGGAUUGCCACGGGAAAAAUUGCCAUGUCUGUGUGAUAUCAAAUAGUCUGAUCAAGUCAGCAAAUAAGAAAUGUCAAUCACUCAGGUUUUGUCGUUGGCACAAGGAAAUCAAAACAAUGGGGUGAUUCAAUAUCU